UACGGGGGGGGCAAGCGUUGUUCGGAAUUACUGGGCGUAAAGGGUCUGUAGGUGGCCAACUAAGUCAGACGUGAAAUCCCUCAGCUUAACUGGGGAACUGCGUCUGAUACUGGAUGGCUUGAGUGUGGGAGAGGAAUGCGGAAUUCCCGGUGUAGUGGUGGAAUGCGUAGAUAUCGGGAGGAACACCAGUGGCGAAGGCGGUUGCCUGGAGCUUUGCUGACGCUGAGGCGCGAAAGCGUGGGGAGCGAUCCGG
rnacentral:rRNA from 1 species